rnacentral:rRNA from 1 species
UACGUAGGGGGCUAGCGUUGUCCGGAUUUAUUGGGCGUAAAGAGCGUGUAGGCGGCCAGGUAGGUCUGCUGUGAAAACUCGAGGCUCAACCUCGAGACGUCGGCGGAAACCAUCUGGCUAGAGUCCGGAAGAGGAGAGUGGAAUUCCUGGUGUAGCGGUGAGAUGCGCAGAUAUCAGGAGGAACACCGGUGGCGAAGGCGGGUCUCUGGGCCGAUACUGACGCUGAGGAGCGAAAGCGUGGGGAGCGAACAGG